GCCGGGCAUGGUGGUGCAUGCCUGUAAUCCCAGCUACUUGGGAGGCUGAGGCACAAGAAUCACUUGAGCCCCGGAAGUGGAAGUUGCAGUGAGCCGAGAUUGUGCCACUGCACUCUAGCCUGGGCAACAGAGUGAGACUCUGUCUCUA
ensembl:misc_RNA Metazoa_SRP Metazoan signal recognition particle RNA